rnacentral:misc_RNA from 1 species
GGAAGGAUCAUUACCACGUUCCAACGUAUCAACCAAUGUGAAUCGUUUUCAAACGCUCCCAACAUAGAAAAUGAGCUGGAAUUGACAGGAGUGCGCGUGCGGAGGCUUCGGCCUAGCGAAUGUCAACCAUUUCAUGUCUUUGGCAUGUAACAGCUGUAUUUCUAUGGGUGGCUAUUUCCUACUACUUUGGUUUCCGACACCGAUCACGAGUAGUAUGGAGAAACUAUCAUUAACUAUAUUAACCGCUUUUGCUAGUUGACUUUUAUAUGUUGCUCUUUGUUUCGGCAUGGAGCACACGUUUAAUUAUUUGAACGUUAAAAAUACAACUCUUAGCAAUGGAUAUCUUGGUUCUCGCAACGAUGAAGAACGCAGCGAAAUGCGAUACGUAAUGCGAAUUGCAGAAUUCAGUGAAUCAUCAAAUCUUUGAACGCAAAUUGCGCUCUUGGGUAGCCCUAGGAGCACGCCUCUCUCAGUAUCGGUUCAACCAACUCUCAGCAGCGUCCUGGUAACAGGUGCGUGUUAGCUGGAUAAUGAGAGUCUGAGUGCUAGCCACUCAGUCUCUUUAAAUUCAUGGAGUGAUUAUAUAACUAACGAUCAGCUCUGCUUCGGCAGAUAGGCAGUCUCUGACUGUUGCUCGAUAGUGACGUGAAUACUGGCCUUUAUGGUCUUCUUUUACGUUUAUCUAUUGAGUAGCAUUAUAGUGAGGGGCUGUUGAACGGUCGAGCUAGUAGAAUAGUCGCGUAAGAAAACCAUAUGAUUGUUAGACUUGUCUAAUAAUCUGAAUUUUGAUCUGAGAUGAAGCGAGACAACCCCCUGAAUUUAAGCAUAUUAAUAAGGGGAGGAAAAGAAACUAACAAGGAUUCCCCCAGUAACGGCGAGUGAAGCGGGAAGAGCUCAAUUUGAAAAUCGAUUACCUAAGCGGGUCAUCGAAUUGUAGCCUAGAGACGUACUAUCAGCUGAAACCUGGGUAUAAGUUCUUUGGAAUGAGGCAUCAUAGAGGGUGAGAAUCCCGUUUAUGACCCAAAGCUUUCAGCGUACGAUGUAUGUUCAUCGAGUCGAGUUGUUUGGGAUUGCAGCUCUAAAUGGGUGGUAAGUUUCAUCUAAAGCUAAAUAAUGGCGAGAGACCGAUAGCGAACAAGUACCGUGAGGGAAAGAUGAAAAGAACUUUGAAAAGAGAGUUAAAAGUACUUGAAAUUGCUAAGAGGGAAGCGCUGAAAACCAGUGAUAUGCUGUGUCAAUCGCUGUUGGCCCCACUAGAUCGUGUGUGUAGUUGGAAACUCUGCAUGCGCGCUCGAAAGGGUGGUCAGCAGUUUAUGAUACAGUGUAAGUCAAGAUCAAUUCGGAUUGUGGGAGAAGGUAGUGAGAAAGGUAGGAGGGUAACCUCUGUUAUAUUCUUAUUACUCUACCUCGGCCUGGAUUGAGGAAGUAAUAGUGCGCUGCUUGCGGCUUGGUCCUGCGUUCCUAUGGUCCUAUCUGUUCUGAUAGCAAUGCUAUCUUUGUGGAAAAAGGCUAUACUGGGCGUAGUGAUUCUAUGUGCUAUCACGAUCUUGUACGAAAUGGUUUUCAUCGACCCGUCUUGAAACACGGACCAAGGAGUCUAACAUCUAUGCAAGUAUUUGGGUGAAAAACCCUGAUGCGUAAUGAAAGUAAAGGUAGCUUCGGCUGCUGAGGUAGGAAUCCCGCAAGGGAGGCACUAUCGACCGAUCAUCACUUGUGAAAGAUUUGAGUAAGAGCAUAUCUGUUGGGACCCGAAAGAUGGUGAUCUAUGCCUGAACAGGGUGAAGCCAGGGGAAACUCUGGUGGAGGCUCGUAGCGAUACUGACGUGCAAAUCGUUCGUCUGAUUUGGGUAUAGGGGCGAAAGACUAAUCGAACCAUCUAGUAGCUGGUUCCCUC